AUUUACGAGUUUCCUAGUUCUGACUAACACUUGAACGCGGCAUAUCACCCUUUACUGUCACAUGCUGUCUGGCACGGAUGCACUGUUUGGGGGGUUCACCCCUUUGAUGUAAUUUUUAAACAGACAAUCCCGGAAAGUACUGGAUAAGAUACAGCAAAAAACUCUUAGAAAGUGAAAUUGUAUAAUGCAUACAAAUGAUCUCAAAUUAAAUGAAAAAGCGAUAUGAUUUUGAAGGAGGAUUGUAACAGUUAAAAAAAGCGAUAUGAUUUUAAUGGAUAAUAUGGUAACAUUUCCUCAUAUAUAGGUUGAUAUGAUAGGGAGGAGUGUUCCUUAAUAAAGCAGGUGCCUAUUCUAUCGAAGCCUUUGAUCACAACUAAAAUAAAAUCAUAAUUCCCAGGGGGUCUGGUGGUGAAUCCAAAGCAAUCCAGCGUGCCCCACAGCGAAGUUCCCGCCUCAUUAUGUAACUCCUGCUAUCAUAAAUACGGACCUUAACUGGCACUUCCACAAUUUAUGUCAGGGAAAAGGCCAGAGUCAGAUACACGGACGCAGCAAUCCAUCCUAUUGGCAGUCAGAACAUAAUACGAUUUGCAGGCAUCUCAUAACGGUAAACGCUAACGACUUCUGCGUCUCUGGGAUUUUACACUGUGACCCUUCCCACCAACAAUUUGAAAGGUCUUUGAGGGUCAAGCGGAUUUGGUAUUAUUUACUGCAAUAUUCCAGAUUUGACAAGGACUAUAAAAACCAUCGCGGUAGCUAGCCUUUACGAAUCAAUCACUUUCUGAACCUCAGCAGUGAAGCAGCGGACGUGAAAUGGACUUCGAUCUGCCACCCGGUUUUACAGCCAGUGGUAUCGCAUGGGAGAGGGUCCUGCCGCCUCUUCUUCCCGGGCUGAACGGGACAUUCGGGCUGUACUCAUUCACUCCGUCGGAGCUGCUCACCCUAGUGACAGAGCACACUGGCCCUGCACAGGUGUGUUGUGACCACAGUAGAUUCACAGUUCAGGUUGAUGUGAAACACUUCAACCCAGAGGAGCUGAUGGUCAAGGUGACAGGAGACUUUGUGUAGGUCCAAGGGAAACACAAAGAGAAAAAAGAUGGGUCGGGGGUGGUGACGCGAUAGUUCAACCGGUGCUACAGGAUUCCAGAGGGAGUGGACUCCAUGGCUCAGUAGUCGGCUGUGUCGCCUGAAAGCAUCCUCAUCAUAUCUGCCCCUAUGCUGCAGGGGGAGAACUCCGGACACCUGUCCCACUCAGAAUCAUGAGCAUUCACACCCUAGGAACAAACACACAAUCCAUAGGAACCAGUGUUGGGGAGUAGUAAACUACAUGUAGUUCAACUAGUAAUUUAACUACUUUUUGCAGUAGAUGGUGGCAGUUCAAAUCUUGGUAGUAUUUAGUAGUUAACUUCUUUUUUUGCCAUGUAGCAGUGUAGCUAACUACUGGGAUUACACUACUUUUUUUGCAAAUAGAAAAAUAAUUAUGGGUGUAGUAAGCAAUAAUUUCCUUUCUUUUUCAGUAUUACUCCUUUCUAGUUCUCACUUGAAACAUAGUUGUUUAAUAUGCUAAAUUACACAUUCUGUUAACAUCUUACUCCAGAGUGAACUGUUCUUGCAAUUUGUAGUCUGACAUUUCAAACUUAAAUAUGAUAAUUUAUCAAAGUAGUUUGAUGUAGUGAACUCUUUUCAAAUUCAUUUUAGUUAAAGAAAAUAAAAAUGUAGUUAAGGGUAACUUUAUUGUAGCUUAACUUCUUCCAGUGUGAAGUAAUUGGUAGCUUGGUAAACUAUGCACACACAAAAAUACAGGCACUCUCCUCCAACAGACAUAUCAAACACUCACCAAGGAACUGGUGCCUGCCUGUACCAAAACACCCAUUAACUACACCAUCACACCAUUAAAAUUCCCUGCUCUCUCUUUCUCUGAGGUUUGUACAUAUUAACAGGACAGAUUCCUCAUUUAAAAGCAUCCCUCAUCCUAAAGAAUCCCAUUUAACUCAAUCUUAAAAUGUUUUUAAUGGAACCGUUCAUUGUAAAUAUGAUAUAAAACCAUUGAAAAUGUUGAUUUGUAUUGUGUGG